AAUAAGUGCAGUUUUGCACUAUUCACGUUCAACGUUUGACCGUUCGUCUUAUUUGAAAUUUUUUUCUAAUUAGUAUUUUUUAUUGCUAUUAAAUAAUAAAACAUGAAUAGUACUUUAUGUGUGACUAAAUAUUUUCAAAUUUUUCAUAAAUUUUUCAAAUAGGACGGACGGUCAAACGUUGGGCACGGAUAUCCACGGCUGCACUUAUU
rfam:Oryza nivara chromosome 4, whole genome shotgun sequence.